UCAGACGCCAGCCGCAAGUCUCUGGGCUUUCGCAAGCCACCACGCUUCUGAUUGACUGGCUCUAAACUCAGGCGUUCCUAUGACACCUUCAGCUUCGAUAAUUCACGAGAAUGACUCACAGAAGCCAGGAAAGUGUGAAAGAGGAUGAUUAUGUCUUGAAGCUUGAUAUUUCUAAACUAAUACAGAUAAAACUUGUAGAAGGUGCAUGGGAAAGGAACGUUGGAAAAGAGAGUUUUGUGUGUGAUCAGGAUUGGCUAAGAGUAGAGCGAAUUUAAUUAAGCGAACUUCAUGGUUAAAAGUAAGCUGGUGCAAGACUGAAGUUUGAUUUGCCCUCUGUUAGGAGAACAAAGUUUCCUGCAAUACUGAGCUGCUCUUGACCACAGAUUAGACUGGAAGCUCUUACGUUCCCAGCAACCUUAUCAGGUUAAAGUUUUCUGGAACAUCACACGAGACACCCAACAGGGCUGGAAUUUUAUGGACUGCUGGGUCUGCCGUCAGCCUCAAACCAGGAAUGAAAAUUGGCCCCUGGACCAACAGGGGACCCCACUGACAACUGGGAACUUCACCAAACUCCAGUUUAAUUCCUCCACAUCUGUGCUCCUGCCCAGGGACAUCAAGGUUGCCCCCAUUACCACUCGCACCCCAACAAAGGCACGUGCGUUAGUUGAAUCCCCGUUUUCUGGGGGCCCAACCAAUCUUCCCAUCUGGAGCCUGGGUACAUGGGCUGCUUCUUGGCCCUGGG